CAACAUUUCUAAUGAAUAAUCAAGAAAAUACUUUGCUGAAUGAUUUAUUCAGUGUAUGGAUACAUAUAAUGAGUGCGUCAGCUUGAAAAACAUGAGAGGUCGGACCAUUACAGUUCGUCACAUGCCAUACAGAAACCGUGGUUAGUGUCGGGAAGAAAACCUUCAAAUUAAGCGAUAUAAGUAUCUGUCUGCUUCUGAUGCUCGUGUGACCUCCUGUUUGUUUCCCAGCUUAUAUUAAAGUUUAAGCUAGAUUAAUCAUCAUUUUUCUUUUUCUUGCGCGCAUACAAGUAUUUUGAAAAUAUUGCAGCAUGAAUAUUUAGGCUUUUGCUGCAGUAGGUUGACUUAUUCGAAAGCUGAUAUUGAUUUAUCAGUAAAAUACAAAAAGAACCUGGAGAGGAAAUGUACUUAGCAAAACACAAAUCAAAUUAAAGAUGUAGCCCUUGUUUGGUUUAGCUAAAAUCAAAUAUUUAGUAAAUUUUGAUAAAAGUUGUAAAUCCUAUUAAAUGUAUGGUUGAAAAUGAGUUUUAGAAAAUGGGAAACCAAACGGGCAUAAUGAGCGAAGAGCAAGUUCAGACAAGUGGGGUGGUAUUUUCUGUCAUUCCCUAUGAUCAUUUGUAUGACACAACACUUCCCGCAUUAUGUAAAACAUUUCCCUGAGCUGUACUGAGGAAGUGAGUGGAAGCUGUACGCUUGCUUUAGGGAUCGACUUGUGUUUAUCUCGUUUGAAAAAAUAAAUUGACAUCUGUUCAUCUUGUUUAAAUGACAUCUUUAGCAGAGCUUGAAAAUGACCAACUGCUAUACUUGAUUUGAUUGUGCAGCUAUAUCAAAAAAUACAACUGAUGAAAGUCUUUUCAACCAUUUGCACCAUUUGGAAGGCUUCUUGAUGGGGAAAACAAAACUUAUGAAACAGGAGAAGAAGCUGAUAAAGCAAGGGAAGAAAUGAAUUCCAAGUUCCUGCAUGGUAGGGUAAUUUUUAUCGAUCCAGCAAGGCUUAGGUAGUCUCCGCCUCGACAACCUCCUCAACAAGGUAUCACUCGAUCCAAAGCCUAUCGAAAGUGGCUUUGUGACUAACAGGACUUUUGGAUGGUCUGGUUGAUGCUUUUAGAACAUUUUCAGUACAUUUUUAAGCUAGAGGAAUUUUUCAGCAUACCGUGUUGGACACAAGCAGUCGAGAAUCAUUACUACUAGUCUACUAUGGUCUUCGCUAGGAUAAUUGGAACUACUCUUGUAUCAGGGAUAUCUUGAACACUCUUUAUCAAUCGUCACUUUGCUUUGCAGUUGACUGCAUUUAAUUUAUCGGCAUUGUCAUUGUGUAGUUA